rnacentral:misc_RNA from 1 species
UUCUUGGUUCAGAAUUUGGAGAGAUAAGGUACCCUGGACAUUGAAGUUGCUGAUACCUCCAUCACGCUUUAAUGUUACAUUAAUUUUCUCUUCAAUAGUAAGGGUGACAGGGUCAGUUGGUGGUGGAGCAGGUGGCUUGGACGGACCAAUGCUUGGUCUGACAUCUUCGACAAUGACUUCACCCUCAGCUUUCAGGGAUUGCAAAAACUGGUUGGUCCUUUGUGUUUUACCUAGCUGCAUACCAAGACCUUUUGGGGGGCCUGUAGCAGAUGCAACUGGACGACCCUUGGACUUGGUGGAAAAUGAAUCCACAUCAGUGCUUGGUCCAAAUCCAGAACCACUGCCUCCUAAACUAGAUAAGUUUGUAUCACUGCCAAAGCCGGUAUCCAUUCUUCCAGAACCCAUGGAUUGCAGAGACAUGAAACCUCCUUUUUCACCUCUAUUCCUCUCAAUCUUG